AUGAAAGGAGCUCGGGGAGGGGGGGGGAAGGAUGAAAAGGAGGAAGGGAUGAGGGGAAGAAAGGAUGCUUUGCCCUGGCCUCACCUCAGCUCGGUGGGUGGGGGUGGGAGAACCUCUCGCCGCCUCCUCUUCCUCCUCCUCCUCCUCCACCACCACCACCUUCUCCUCCUCCUACUUCUCCACCUCCUCCCCAGCAGCGACGGUCACCGGCGGGCUGGGUGCGCGGCUCCGGCUCCCUCACACGGCCCCCGCCUCCCGUUCGGCUCCGGGGAGGACCCGGGAGCCGCCGCCGGCCUCCCCGCGGCAGCCACUCGGGGUGGAGGCUGCGCGCCUGCGCCUCUCCUCUGCUGCCUCCAGCGGGAGGCCGCGCCGGGCUCCGCCGCUCGGGGGGCGCCGGGGCUGUGGAAGUCCAAGAUGAUUCAUCUCUCCAUUUACACCUGCAAAAUGCACAAGAGACUUAUAACUAAGACAUCGCCUGAAGAAAGUUAAUAAGUGCUGGUGAAGUGUGAUGAUGAUGUACACUGGUUCUUCGCUCUGCCUCCAUAUGAAACUCCCUCCAUCACAUUACAGGAACACCAGGGAGCCUCUGAUGAUGGGGAGGCUGCCAGGUUGCUGCCCACAAGGCAAGAUUUUGCAGGAACAAAGGAACAGCACGAUCUGGUCUGGCCAUAAUGAAGCACCUCAUGCUAAUAUUGGUGGUAAAAAGGGAAGGAGUGAGCAAAGGUUGUUAUCACAAGAUCCUCCGUUUGUUCAGUUAACAUCUUAAUUGGCGUACCUUUUAUUAGUUGCAGGGGAUUAUAAAGAUGUAAAUUACAAGGCAGUUGAGUUAUAGCUGCAUGGAUGUCAGGUCUGAGCUGAAAUUAUAACAUCUAGAGCAUAUAUGCUUUAAUACUACCAUGUUAUUAUGCAUCUCGCUUCUCCCACCCAGUUUUCUGUAAUGUUAUAUGCAAACAGUAUGUUUGUGAAAGAACAUUUUCUUAGUAAGUGAACGUUUAGGUAUUCCAAUACACUCGAAUAUGCCGAAGACAUUUUAUAACAAUCUUUCCUUUUCUUUAUAAGGUGACAGCAGAUAUCACUUGAAAAAUUGCCUAAUCUCUCUCUGUUUUAUCUCCAGAUUCUCUCUGAGUACUGUAUCAUUAUAAAUUAUAAUGAAACUCAAAAAGUGACCAGAAUAGUAAUUGAAAGAACAUUUGGCAUCUUAAAAAUGAGAGUUAGAUGCUUAGAUAAAUGUGGUAGAACAGAACUAAACUGCCCUUCAAGAAAGUUCAGAGUAGUUCUCGCUCGUGUAUGUUAUGUAAUACAGCCAUUAAAUAUGGUUCAUUUGUGAAGAUGAAAAGGAAGCAAUUUAAUGAGUCUAUCCAAAUUACUGAGGUAAAUGAUCCUAAUGAUGUACACUUGGAAAAUUAUCUCACGAUAGGGUAGUGGAAAUUAAAAAUAAGAUGCUAGCUAUCUGGAACCGAAAUGUAAACUAAAGUAAAACUGAAAGCCUUUCUUCUGAAACAGAGCAGUAGUAACAGAGUGCUUAAACUUGGGACUGCAGCACAGGAGAAGAAGAUGCUGUUUCUGGCCAUAAUGCAGACCUCCUGCACAUUGACUCAUAUAUGCCUUCUGAACCUUCCUAUCUUUACAAUUCAACCUAGAGCCAUCUUAGUGUCAGCCAAAUACGAGUUACAAAUAUAGUCUUCCUAGCACUAAAGGAAAGCAGACUACAGACCAGUAGACCACAGAUUCAGGUAAUAAAUGGAUUCUCUUUUCUUUAUUCCUCUUGUCA
rnacentral:lncRNA from 1 species